UUGCCACAGAGACAGAAAGAUGAGAAGCACACUUCCACUCCAAGGUUCCAAGACUCGAGGCUUUUGUCAACCGCGAUGAAGUUAUAUUGCCAUCACGUGGCACCUAAAUCUUGAGAAAUAAGUAAAGAAGGCAAGUGCAAUGUAUGACUUGCUCGGCAACUACAAUAUUGGCUUUGUAGUAACUGGAAUUUGCAAUAUUGCUGCAGCUAGCAUCCUUGCUUUCAUUCCAUGGCUGCAAAGAGAAACAACACAGUCAUCGAAAAACUAUCUUAAUGCGUCUGCAUGUGUGAUAACAAACACCAUAGUUCCUUGGAAAUCACCCACUCCUUCGUUAGGGGUAAAUACCAUUAUUCUACACUCUGUUCUAAACAAGUAGAAUCUGGCUUUGCCACAGAAAUUUGAUGACCAACCUGAAGACAAAGGAGAGCAUCUUGAGGGCAGAGCUGAUAUGAGGCCAGUGCAGGAUAUACCAGUAUCAGAUGCAGAAACUUUGGGAUCUGUCAGACCAACAGAGCGCAGAGUGUCUUUUGCAGAUGACCAACCUCAGGAUAAAGGAGAGCAUCCUGAGAGCAGAGCUGAUGCCAAGAGUUCAGGAUCUACACAUCCGACAGGAUACCCUCCCCUAAUAAGAGGAAUGGCUUUCCUAGAGAACUCUGAAGGUGAUGAAGAGCCCAGCCAAUUCGAAACCAAUAAAAACCCCCUUUAGAAGUGAAACUUCAACACAUGUAAUACAGGCACAGUAAAUGCCUUCGACUUCCCAUGGAAAAGAAGGGGGUAUGGCAUUUGCCAGUGAUGAUGAUGAUGGUGAACAAGCACCACAACAGAAAUGAUCAGAGUGCAGCAGCAAUGUUAAUGAUACUGGAUCAGUUACAAAUCUGUCUGUCUGGCCCGUCAAGGGUACAUUAUUUGUCUGAGUAGUAUUCACAAAACAUUAUUUACUAAAAAGCACUUCUCUUAGCUGUAUAUUAUUUUUGUAAGUUAGAUGUACAAACAAUUUGUAAUUGACUGGAUUUCUAGUGGUGGCUGACAAGUUUUUGACAAUUGCUUUUUAAAAAUAAAAUGUUGUUGUUUA